CACAUAUUCAAACUUGCUACUUUUAGAAUAUGAAUGCAGUUGUAUUCAGAAAAGAAAAAAAGCUUUCUAAGACACUUUGAAGGGCUAAUUUGCUUUUAUAGACAUGUAGAAAAAUCAACACAUCACUGAUGAUAGCUUCAUAUGUGUUUGGAAUGUUAAUAUGGAACAUGAAAUAGUUUUAGCCAUGUCAGCAGUAUAGCAACAUUUAGAUAUAUGCUGAACUGUUACAGUGUUGAAUAUUGUUCAAAAUAGAUUACAUCUGUGAUUUGGAAAUGUUUUCAUUGUAAAUUAAUUCAUUAUUAGUGUCUUUGUUGUGACUGAUUUUGAAUGAUUGAUUUAGAGGCAUGUGUCUCUAGUUUCUUAAUUACU
rnacentral:lncRNA from 1 species